GUUAUGGUAGAAAUCUGGACUGAUAAAGGUAGCGUCAGGGUGAUCAACUUAUAUAACCCAUGUAAAAAAUUACAAAAAGAAAAAUUAGAAGAAUUGGUGGAAUUAAGUGGGGAUAAAGUGGUGUGGUGUGGUGACUUUAAUAGUCACAGCACUUUAUGGGGUAGUAAAAAUACAGAUUUUAAUGGUAAAGUAAUUGAAGAAUUAUUGGAUGAAAAUGGACUGGUGUGUAUUAAUGAUGGAUCAGGAACAAGGGUGAACAUUGUAAAUGGCCAGGAGUCAGUACUAGAUCUUACAUUGGUAUCAGAAAAUAUGGCAAGCAUUUGUACAUGGAAAGUUUUGAAGGAAACAACAGUAGGGAGUGAUCAUUAUCCAGUAAAAAGCAGAAUUGGUGUUAGAAUACAAAAGGCAGAACAAGGAAACCUAGAAAGAUGGAAAUUAAAGAAUGCAGGAUGGGAAGUAUUCAGUUAUAUUUGUAGUAAUAGAAUUAUUGAAAUGGAUGACCAGGAAGAUGGAAUAGAAGAAUAUAAUGGAAAAAUAAGUAAUAUUAUACAUAAAACGGCGACAGAGAUAAUAGGAAAGAAAACAGCAGUUAGGAAAAGGAAGUCAGUACCAUGGUGGAAUAAAAAGUGUGAAGAAGUGAUACAACAAAGGAAUAAAGCAUUUAAGAAAGUUAAAUCAUCGUAUUUAUACUCGGACCUUAUAAAGUAUAAGAAAGCACAAGCUAUAGUAAGGAAAACUAUUAAAACAGCUAAAAGAAAUUAUUGGAGAAAUUACUGUAAUAAUAUUGGAUGGGAAAUACAGAUUUCAGAUAUUUGGAGUAUGAUUAGAAGGAUGGGAGGUAUUUGCAAGAAUUUUAACAUGCCAGUAUUAAAGAAUGGAAAUGAAAUUGCAGUUUCAAAUAAAGAGAAGGCAGAGAUGCUAGCUAAAGUAUUUGCAAAAGUAAAUUGUAGUAGUAAUUUGACUGAAGAGGCUAAGGAGUGUAGAGAAAGAGUUAGAAGAGAAAAUCCUGAUAUUUUGAAUAAGUGUGAAGCAAGUGGAAACCCACUAGAUGCAGAUUUUACACUUUAUGAAUUAAAAAGAGCAAUUGCUAAAGUAAAAGAAACUUCUCCGGGGCAGGACGAGAUAUGUUAUAGUAUGAUAGGAAAAUUAUCAGAUGUAGCACUUUUUAAAUUACUGAAGUUAAACAAAAAAAUAUGGGCAGAGGGCAAACUUCCUUCAGCAUGGAAACAUUCA
ensembl:lncRNA